AGGUUUAGUUUAUGGUUUAGGAUUUGGAUUAGAGUUUAGGGUUGGAUUAGGGUUUGGAUUAGGGUUUGGAUUAGAGGUUGGUUAGGAUUUGAUUUAAGGUUUGGUUUAGAGUUUAGAAUUUGGAUUAGAGUUUAGGGUUGGAUUAGGGUUUGGAUUAGGGUUUGAAUUAGGGUUUAGGAUUUGGUUAGGAUUUGAUUUAGGGUUUGGAUUAGGGUUUGGUUAGUGUUUGAUUUAGGGUUUGGAUUAAGGUUUGGUUAGGAUUUGAUUUAAGGUUUGGUUUAGGGUUUAGGGUUGGAUUAGGGUUUGGUUUAGGAUUUAGGGUUUGGAAUAGGAUUUAAUUUAAGAUUUGUUUAAGAUUUGACUUAGAGUUUAGAAAUUAUUAGGGUUUAAGAUUUAAUUAGGUUUGGUCUAAAGUUGAGUGAAAUUCAAUAGGGUUUUAACUAGAAUUAAAUUAAGGUUGAAUUGACAUAUAUUUGAGUAAAAUUUGUGAUCGUUCUAAUAUUUCUUUAAGAAUUUUAUUUUUUGUUUGAA
rnacentral:lncRNA from 1 species